UGGGGAAUCUUCCGCAAUGGACGAAAGUCUGACGGAGCAACGCCGCGUGAGUGAUGACGGCCUUCGGGUUGUAAAGCUCUGUUAAUCGGGACGAAAGGCCUUCUUGCGAAUAGUUANAAGGAUUGACGGUACCGGAAUANAAAGCCACGGCUAACUACGUGCCAGCAGCCGCGGUAAUACNUAGGUGGCAAGCGUUGUCCGGAAUUAUUGGGCGUAAAGCGCGCGCAGGCGGAUUGGUCAGUCUGUCUUAANAGUUCGGGGCUUAACCCCGUGAUGGGAUGGAAACUGCCNAUCUANANUAUCGGAGAGGAAAGUGGAAUUCCUANUGUANCGNUGAAAUGCGUANAUNUUANGAANAACACCANUGGCGAAGGCGACUUUCUGGACNAANACUGACGCUGAGGCGCGAAAGCCAGGGGAGCGAACGGGAUUANAUACCCCGGUAGUCCUGGCCGUANACGAUGGGUACUANGUGUANGANGUAUCGACCCCUUCUGUGCCGGAGUUAACGCANUAAGUACCCCGCCUGGGGAGUACGACCGCAAGGNUG
rnacentral:rRNA from 1 species